rnacentral:lncRNA from 1 species
GAACUGCCCAGGAGGUUUGGGGACCUGUUAUGCUGAGAUGAUAACUUCAGAGCGUUCUUCUAAGUGCUUUACAGAUGAUUACCUUAUUUAAUUCUUAUGACAACCUUGUGAAAUAGGUACUAUUGAUUUACGGAUAGAGAAAUGGAGGCAAGGAAAUGAUACUUUACACAGCCCAUUGGAGUGCCCUAUUUUUCAAGACUACCAUCAGCGCUUCAGAUGCAAGAGACAGCAAGCUAGUAUUAGCAGUCCUAAAAAUAAUAGUUGUAAAAAAUAGCUGCACACAGUAAGGAAUUCUCAUUAUUUUAUUUAUUUCUCUAAAUUGCCUGAAAUUUUAUCAUACCCAUAUUACAGAUGAGCAAGGGAUGGCUUCAAGAGGUUAUGUAGUUGUCCUAGUCAAACAAUUGAUGUGGGCUUGAUCAGAUUUGAACCUGCUAUUUCUAAGUCUUCUCUAUUUCCCAACCACCACUCUGUGGGGUUUGGGGGCAAACUAUUACUAUCUGGAGCCCACCCUUCGCCUCCACCCCGUCCUGAACAAAUACAGUUCCUCUGGGUUCUCUUUACCCACUUAUCUGAUCUCUGUCACACCUGAAGCCCAAGAUGAAAAUUAUUUAGACAGUUUAAAGCUUAGCUGCAAAUGUUCAGGUUGGGAAGCACUGCCCUACCCCAUGCAACCUCCUUCACGGUGAAUCAGGGCGUCAGAGGAGCCUCCCAAAAGGCACAGACGAUUUGUAGAAGCUGAGCCGAAGCCAAGCAGCCCAACGCCUAGCACUAAUAAUUACUGAAAUUUGUUGAGAAAAACAAUAGCUCAUAAAGCCCAGUGUUUCCCUAAAGGGCAAGGAUAAUAGCCCUAUAACUUCAAACGUGUUGGAAAAAUCUGUUAUUCAUGUUAAUCCCCUCGCCAUUGCCAGCCACAUCAAUCUUUUUCAAAGGGGGACACUGGAAAAAAACCAUUGAAGUUUGAAGGGAAAAAACAGGCACGUAAGGUGAGCAGCAGCAGACAGUGAAGCAAUCCUGAGAUUCUGCUUAUUGCUCCCUGGGACUUACAAUAUUUCAGUAGGAUUCACCCUUCACCCCGUGCCCAUUUGGCUCCAACUCCCCAAUAAGGCAGGGAAGUGGGCCCGAUGAAAAACAGCACCAUCGAGCCAUUUCUGGCUCUUUUUACUAGGAUAAUGUUUUUCAAGAAUCUUUACCUUGGAGGUCUAGGCAAAAUUACCAGCCCUCGUUAAAGUUCAUGCAUUCUUUGCUGAUUCAGUUUCAACUCAGAAACAACACCCACUUUAAAAAGAUGCACCAAU